rnacentral:rRNA from 1 species
CAGUGUAACGGUAAAGAUCAAUACUAAUAGUGGCGCACGGGUGCGUAACGCGUAACCAACCUACCCGAAUCUGGGGGAUAGCCCGCCGAAAGGCGGAUUAAUACCGCAUAAAACUGCAGCCUGGCAUCAGGUAACAGUUAAAGAUUUAUUGGAUUCGGAUGGGGUUGCGUGCCAUUAGCUAGUUGGCGGGGUAACGGCCCACCAAGGCGACGAUGGCUAGGGGAGCUGAGAGGCUGGUCCCCCACACGGGCACUGAGAUACGGGCCCGACUCCUACGGGAGGCAGCAGUAGGGAAUAUUGGGCAAUGGUCGAGAGACUGGCCCAGCCAUGCCGCGUGCAGGAUGAAGGCUUUCUGAGUCGUAAACUGCUUUUGCCAGGGAAGAAAAAAGGGGAUGCGUCCUCUACUGACGGUACCUGGUGAAUAAGCACCGGCUAACUCCUUGCCAGCAGCCGCGGUAAUACGGAGGGUGCAAGCGUUGUCCGGAUUUAUUGGGUUUAAAGGGUGCGUAGGCGGCUUUUUAAGUCUGGGGUGAAAGCCCGUUGCUCAACAACGGAACUGCCCUGGAAACUGGAGAGCUUGAGUACAGACGAGGGUGGCGGAAUGGAUACUGUAGCGGUGAAAUGCAUAGAUAGUACCCAGAACCCCGAUUGCGAAGGCAGCUGCCUAGACUGUAACUGACGCUGAGGCACGAAAGCGUGGGGAGCGAACAGGAUUAGAUACCCUGGUAGUCCACGCCGUAAACGAUGGAUACUCGCUGGUGGCGACAGACGGUCACUGGCUUAGCGAAAGCGUUAAGUAUCCCACCUGGGGAGUACGCUCGCAAGAGUGAAACUCAAAAG